AUUGAAAGAAAAGGAUAGCAUUCAAAGCUUCAAAUGGAGUGGGAAAAUGGAGGGCGUGGAAACGAAACAUCACGAUAGUAUCUUUUGACAUCACGCUUCAAGACUCCGAUGUCAGGAGGCUGGUGAUGUCACAGAUUUUAACCUGGCUUGAACAUGCCAAGUGUACUGGCAUCUCAGCUGUUCUUCUCCAUCAUUUGACGGAUGAGCAUGAGUGGCCUCCCCCGAUUCAAUAUUAUGAGUAAAGUCAUGGGCCAUUGAGCCAAGAGGAGAGGAAUUCACCAUGGCUUAACAAUAAAAAAAACACUUUAGUACCCUUAAAGCCCUCAGUGUGAUUGUCCUUGACAACCACCUUCCAUCAAAGAUGCAUACUAUCUAGUAUACAGACUAAACCGUGCAUGGAACAAUAGAAGAGGAUGGCAAUAUUCCCCAGUAAACGCAGUGAAAGAAAAAAGACCUAUCCAUACAGAGUCGCUGAAGAAACUGAUCUUCACGUGUCACUUGACCAACAAUUUUUCGGUAUGGGUAGAAAGGCUGUUAUGGAGAAGCACUAUCCUCGACAAAUCUCUAGCCACCUUGAACAGUUAUCUCCUUAACCAAGAAGGGAAUUGUACAGCGAGCAAGAAUCUAGGUUUAAUAAGAGACAUUUCUAGAGGUUUACUGUGUGCUCCAAUAUUCAUGAAACUUAAUGACAAGGGUCUCAUUGUUGUCUUGUUUGAAACUAGGUCACAUGUGGACUGAAUGGAAGUCACUUGAUUUUAUUUUUAAAACAUUAUAGAAUCAAACCUUGAUAUUGCUUUGUAAGAUUACAUGUGUUCAAACUUAGUGAGAAUGUUCACCUUGAUGAAAUGUUAAGGGAGAUCAAGUUUGUCACAUAGGUAAAAAAUAUGGUCACUUCUUAAGAAAUACUUGGGUACUAGAAGCAAAAUAUGUACUCGCAAUCAUGUAAAUUUGUGUGUAUAUUUGUUCUCUUCAGCUUUAUAAGUCGUGUUACCUGCGACAUGC